rnacentral:tRNA from 1 species
GGGCCCGUAGCUUAGCGGUGGAGCGCCCGGCUCAUAACCGGGUGGCCGAGAGUUCGAAUCUCUCCGGGCCCA